AGCAUAGUUGCAUUUAAAUCAAUGGAGCUACACUGGUUUACACAAACUGAGGAUCCUGAUACCUGGGGCAACUGCAACACUGAUGUAACAACACUGACUUAGCUGGAGAGAAAUCAUGCAAAAGAGUCAUUGAAAACAAAGCGGAAGGGUUGGGGAAUAAUGCUUCUGGUAAUGGAAGACAGGUGAUUCGUGUUCUGAUUUGGAGAUGGAUCCUGAAAAAUCAGCCUGCUGGAUAAAUGUUAGGGCUAGGCUCACUGAAGCAGCACUAGGUAGAGCCAGAUUUACCAGCAUUUCUUCCAUGUUACUCAGCAUAUCACU